GCCCUCGUAGCUCAGUGGAUAGAGCAAAGGUUUCCUAAACCUUUGGCCGUGCGUUCGAUUCGCACCGAGGGCG
rnacentral:tRNA from 1 species